rnacentral:lncRNA from 10 species
CAACCAGGACAGCUCUGUGAAGACUGGCUUUGCUCUCUGGACAAAAGCCUUCUCUUCUCUUUACUACUGCCCUACUUUCAGCAUGGCCCUCCUCCUCCACCUCCCUUUCCUGCCUAGUGUCCUGAUCCCCACUGCUGGGGGCAGCAGGCUGCACAUUUCUGGACACUGAAAUCAAGAGAAUACUUCCUACCUCAGCCUUCACUUGACAGUGAAUCUGCAUGAAACCGGCUCUUGCCCACAGCUGCAAGUGCUUCUGAAUCGGAACUCUUCACUUCCUUGCCUCUCCUCAGCAGAGGCAGACACAGCCCCUGCCACCCACGAGGAGGAUGCUGUCAGCAGGGAACCCUUUGCUUGGAGUGACCCACACAGCCUGAGAGCAGGAGGAUGCAGAGGCAGCCCACCCAUGUCCUCGCCACUCAUAGACACUUGUGAAAACCCAUGAAAUAGAUUUUCUUUGGGACUCAUUUCCUGUCACAUUUAUUAAAAAAUUGAACACUACAUAACGACAUUUUUUUUAAAAGCAGAAAGCAUGCAAUAAAGAUUAAUCUAAUUGCCGUGAUGCUUUGAAGGUUUCAUGUUGUAAAUUAGCAGUACAGGCGUGACUUUGGGAGGCAGGCCUCUUGGAAGGCAGUUAAAGUUCCUAGGGGGAGGGGAAACGCAGUCCAAGCUUAAGCAGGAAACACUGAGGGUGUCUCUCUAGGCUCCUGUCUGGGACCCAAUCCUAGAAAAGCUUGAAAUUGAUGUCAGGACAAACUGGAUGAGGCGUUAACUGUGUUGGCGUUUGUUGGUAGUGGGCUUAUUCCAAAGGAAUGGAAGGCGUUUCUCUCCUCCUCUGCAGAGGAUAUAGCCAGGACCUUAGUCUAGAGGCCUCUGCUUCUUUGGUCUGGGGGGGUGGUUAAGGUGUCUUCCCAACCUAUGUGCUCCCUGAGGCAGUGAAGGUCAGACUGAGAGUGAGGGGAGCUGCUUGAUUGGAGGGAGAAAUGAGUUCUUUGUGAUACUGAGAGGAUGCUGGUGUUGCAGGUUAUGUACAUGGUGGGCCUCUGCCUUGCUCAUAAACUGUAGAAAGUUGGGCAUGAGGUGGGCUGCUUGGGAGCUUCAGCAAAGAGCCCUGGAAACACCAAUUCAUCUGCCUCCUGAUUUUGCCAAGGGCUUCAGCCUGGCCUGCAACCCUUGCCAACAUAAUCUCUGCCUCUGGUUUGACAAGGCAUGGUUGGCUUAUGAAAAUGUAUCCCAGGCAUGCAGCUCACAUCUCUUUGAAUAUCUUCCUUUUCCUAAUCAGAACCCAGAGAAGCAUUUCAGCUGCUCAGAGGCUGAGCAGAAGCACUGACACUUUAAUCUGGAGCCAUGGUACUUUAUUAGCACUCUGCUCACCCUUUCAUUCAUUUGCUUUUCUUGCAGAAGAGGCUGCCUGUACAAUUUUGUCACUGAGAAUGAUAAAUGGGCUUGGCAUUUCCCACUUUCUUUUUUUUGCAUGGUCUGUGAAUGCACGUGGAUUUUCCAAUUUUCAGAUAUAACAUGUCCAGAUGUGUAUGAAUGAGAAGGUGCAAAUGUCCUGAUGAGUUCAAUUUUCCUGGAGAGAUUUCUGCAAUAAUAUAAUCAUGGAGCCCAAACUGUGAAACACACAAGGAAAUAGAACAGAGACAGAGUUUUCUCUUCCUUAAAAAAGAGAUCACAAUCGGCUCGUUUUGUAUAUUGCUUUGAUCGUAUUUGCCCUUCUGUUGGGGCCAGGUGACAGUGAAGAUCAUUGUGGCAGCUGAAGUUUCUUUACACAGCCAUGUGUGUCUCUGUAAAAUUUGAAGCCUUGAUAAAUUGUCCAUGUGCCUUCAAAAAUGCAAGCUGUGGUGGUGCAUCUGUAAAUGUGGUGUGGAAUCCCUGUUAAAGUACGCACAUAUCAGCAAGCUCCAAUAUAAAGCGACUGGAAUCCCAAAAGGUCGUGAUUACUUUCAAGCAAAGGACUUCCCUGUGAAUCGCAUUUAAAGUGAUUAAUGUGGCUGCUGUGACUUGGGGUACUAGUGCUGAAGCACAUAUACUUUAUAUUACAAGAGUGAUGCAACUGCUGUUUUUUUGUUUUUGUUUUUGUUUUUUAAAUGAGAGAAGAAGGGGAAAGGCACAGGCUCCCUACUGCAAAAACUUUUCUGCUGGGAUAUUGAGAAAUAAUUCAGAAACAAGGGUCAGAAUUUUUGUGUGUAAUCACAUAGGAGGCUCUCGUGCAAGGAUGAAGGGUCAAUUUCAAAAGAAUCUUAAUGGGGUGAAGCAUAAAACUGAA